rnacentral:rRNA from 1 species
ACGGAAGGCAGCAGUGAGGAAUAUUGGUCAAUGGGCGGAAGCCUGAACCAGCCAAGUCGCGUGAAGGAUGAAGGUAUUAUGUAUUGUAAACUUCUUUAGCCAGGGGGCAAUAAGGCGUACGCGUACGCCGAUGAGAGUACCUGGAGAAUAAGGAUCGGCUAACUCCGUGCCAGCAGCCGCGGUAAUACGGAGGAUCCGAGCGUUAUCCGGAUUUAUUGGGUUUAAAGGGUGCGCAGGCGGCUUUUUAAGUCAGUGGUUAAAUUGUGACGCUCAACGUCAUCACGCCAUUGAUACUGGAGAGCUUGAUUGCGGUCGAGGUUUGCGGAAUUCGUCGUGUAGCGGUGAAAUGCAUAGAUAUGACGAAGAACACCGAUUGCGUAGGCAGCAGACCAGGCCGUAAAUGACGCUCAUGCACGAAAGUGCGGGGAUCGAACAGGAUUAGAUACCCUGGUA